rnacentral:rRNA from 1 species
AGGACGAACGCUGGCGGCGUGCCUAACACAUGCAAGUCGAACGCUCUCCAUUCGGUAGCAAUACCGAUGAAGAGGGAGUGGCGAACGGGUGAGUAGCACGUGAGCAACCUGCCCCGAAGACUGGGACAACACCGGGAAACCGGUGCUAAUACCGGAUAUCCCUAUCGGAUCGCAUGAUCUGAUAAGGAAAUGGAUUCCGCUUCGGGAGGGGCUCGCGGCCUAUCAGCUAGUUGGUGAGGUAAUAGCUCACCAAGGCAUCGACGGGUAGC